UACGGGGGGGGCGAAGCGUUGUUCGGUAAUUACUGGGCGUAAAGGGCGUGUAGGCGGCCAACUAAGUCCGACGUGAAAUCCCCAGGCUUAACCUGGGAACUGCGUCGGAUACUGGAUGGCUUGAAUUCCGGGAGAGGGAUGCAGAAUUCCAGGUGGUAGCGGUGAAAUGCGUAGAUAUCUGGAGGAAUACCGGUGGCGAAGGCGGCAUCCUGGACCAACACUGACACUGAGGAGCGAAAGCCAGGGGAGCAAACGGG
rnacentral:rRNA from 1 species